CAUGUGGCCUAACGGAUAAGGCGUCAGACUUCGAAUCUGAAGAUUGCGGGUUCGAAUCCCGUCUU
rnacentral:ncRNA from 12 species